rnacentral:rRNA from 1 species
UACGGAGGGGGCUAGCGUUGUUCGGAAUUACUGGGCGUAAAGCGCACGUAGGCGGCUUUGCAAGUUAGAGGUGAAAGCCCGGGGCUCAACCCCGGAAUUGCCUUUAAGACUGCAGGGCUAGAAUCCAGGAGAGGUGAGUGGAAUUCCGAGUGUAGAGGUGAAAUUCGUAGAUAUUCGGAAGAACACCAGUGGCGAAGGCGGCUCACUGGACUGGUAUUGACGCUGAGGUGCGAAAGCGUGGGGAGCAAACAGG